UACGGGGGGGCAAGCGUUGUUCGGAAUUACUGGGCGUAAAGGGCUCGUAGGUGGCCAACUAAGUCAGACGUGAAAUCCCUCGGCUUAACCGGGGAACUGCGUCUGAUACUGGAUGGCUUGAGUUUGGGAGAGGGACGCGGAAUUCCAGGUGUAGCGGUGAAAUGCGUAGAUAUCUGGAGGAACACCGGUGGCGAAGGCGGCGUCCUGGACCAACACUGACACUGAGGAGCGAAAGCCAGGGGAGCAAACGGG
rnacentral:rRNA from 1 species